UACGUAGGGUGCGAGCGUUAAUCGGAAUUACUGGGCGUAAAGGGCUUGUAGGUGGCCAACUAAGUCAGACGUGAAAUCCCCCGGCUUAACCGGGGAACUGCGUCUGAUACUGGAUGGCUAGAGAUUGGGAGAGGGACGCGGAAUUCCAGGUGUAGCGGUGAAAUGCGUAGAUAUCUGGAGGAACACCGGUGGCGAAGGCGGCGUCCUGGACCAACACUGACACUGAAAAGCGAAAGCCAGGGGAGCAAACGGG
rnacentral:rRNA from 1 species